UACAGAGGCCUCGAGCGUUAGGCGGAAUCACUGGGCUUAAAGCGUGUGUAGGCGGACUUCUAAGUACCUUGUGAAAUCCCACGGCUCAACCGUGGAACUGCUUGGUAUACUGGUUGUCUUGAGCCAUCUAGGGGCGAGCGGAACAAGUGGUGGAGCGGUGAAAUGCGUAGAUAUCACUUGGAACGCCAACGGUGAAAACAGCUCGCUGGGGAUGUGCUGACGCUGAGACACGAAAGCCAGGGGAGCAAACGGG
rnacentral:rRNA from 1 species